UACGGGGGGGGCAAGCGUUGUUCGGAAUUACUGGGCGUAAAGGGCGCGUAGGCGGUUCGGUAAGUCCUGUGUGAAAUCCCUCGGCUCAACUGAGGAACUGCACGGGAGACUGCCGGGCUUGAGUUCGGGAGAGGGAAGCGGAAUUCCGGGUGUAGCGGUGAAAUGCGUAGAUAUCCGGAGGAACACCGGUGGCGAAGGCGGCUUCCUGGACCGACACUGACGCUGAGGCGCGAAAGCUAGGGGAGCAAACGGG
rnacentral:rRNA from 1 species